rnacentral:rRNA from 1 species
GCGAGGAAUAUUGCGCAAUGGGCGAAAGCCUGACGCAGUAACGCCGCGUGCGGGAAGAAGGCCUUCGGGUCGUAAACCGCUUUUCGGAGGGACGAGUGAGGACGGUACCUCUGGAAUAAGUCUCGGCUAACUACGUGCCAGCAGCCGCGGUAAAACGUAGGAGGCAAGCGUUAUCCGGAUUCACUGGGCGUAAAGCGCGUGUAGGUGGUUCGUUAAGUCGCUGGUGAAAGCCCCUGGCUCAACUGGGGGAGGUCUGGCGAAACUGGCGGACUCGAGGGUCCGAGAGGAAGGUGGAAUUCCCGGUGUAGCGGUGGAAUGCGUAGAGAUCGGGAGGAACACCAGUGGCGAAAGCGGCCUUCUGGCGGGCUUCUGACACUGAGACGCGAAAGCGUGGGGAGCAAACGGGAUUAGAAACCCUUGUAGUCC